rnacentral:rRNA from 1 species
GACGAACGCUGGCGGCGUGCUUAACACAUGCAAGUCGAACGAUGAAGCCUAGCUUGCUAGGUGGAUUAGUGGCGAACGGGUGAGUAAUACGUGAGUAACCUACCUUUAACUCUGGGAUAAGCCCUGGAAACUGGGUCUAAUACCGGAUACGACCAAUCUCCGCAUGGGGUGUUGGUGGAAAGCGUUAUGUAGUGGUUAUAGAUGGGCUCACGGCCUAUCAGCUUGUUGGUGAGGUAACGGCUCACCAAGGCGACGACGGGUAGCCGGCCUGAGAGGGUGACCGGCCACACUGGGACUGAGACACGGCCCAGACUCCUACGGGAGGCAGCAGUGGGGAAUAUUGCACAAUGGGCGCAAGCCUGAUGCAGCGACGCCGCGUGAGGGAUGACGGCCUUCGGGUUGUAAACCUCUGUUAGCAGGGAAGAAGAGAGAUUGACGGUACCUGCAGAGAAAGCGCCGGCUAACUACGUG